AACGAACGCUGGCGGCAUGCCUAACACAUGCAAGUCGAACGAGACCUUCGGGUCUAGUGGCGCACGGGUGCGUAACGCGUGGGAACCUGCCCUUAGGUUCGGAAUAACUCCCCGAAAGGGGUGCUAAUACCGGAUAAUGUCUUCGGACCAAAGAUUUAUCGCCUUUGGAUGGGCCCGCGUUGGAUUAGCUAGUUGGUAGGGUAAAAGCCUACCAAGGCGACGAUCCACAGCUGGUCUGAGAGGAUGACCAGCCACACUGGGACUGAGACACGGCGCAGACUCCUACGGGAGGCAGCAGUGGGGAAUAUUGGAAAAUGGGCGAAAGGCUGAUCCAGCAAUGCCGCGUGAGUGAUGAAGGCCUUAGGGUUGUAAAGCUCUUUUACCCGGGAUGAUAAUGACAGUACCGGGAGAAUAAGCUCCGGCUAACUCCGUG
rnacentral:rRNA from 1 species